UACGUAUGGGGCUAGCGUUAUCCGGAUUUACUGGGCGUAAAGGGUGCGUAGGCGGUCUUUCAAGUCAGGAGUGAAAGGCUACGGCUCAACCGUAGUAAGCUCUUGAAACUGUAAGACUUGAGUGCAGGAGAGGAGAGUGGAAUUCCUAGUGUAGCGGUGAAAUGCGUAGAUAUUAGGAGUAACACCAGUGGCGAAGGCGACUUACUGGACUGUAACUGACGCUGAGUCACGAAAGCGUGGGUAGCAAACAGGAUUAGAUACCCCGGUAGUCCCUGA
rnacentral:rRNA from 1 species